GUUAAGGGGGCCCGUAGAAGCAAACAAGGAAAAUAAACAGGGGUGGAGGUGGACCCAGAGGGCCCUCACUCGGUACUUCCGUAGGUGAACCUGCGGAAGGAUCACUACCGAGUGAGGGCCCUCUGGGUCCAACCUCCCACCCGUGUUUAUUUUACCUUGUUGCUUCGGCGGGCCCGCCUUAACUGGCCGCCGGGGGGCUUACGCCCCCGGGCCCGCGCCCGCCGAAGACACCCUCGAACUCUGUCUGAAGAUUGAAGUCUGAGUGAAAAUAUAAAUUAUUAAAACUCAACAA
rnacentral:misc_RNA from 1 species